CCUACGGGAGGCAGCAGCCGCGGUAAUAGGCGCAAGCCUGACCGAGCAACGCCGCGUGGAGGACGACGGCCUCCGGGUUGUAAACUCCUUUUCUGGGAAGCGAGGUAUACGGACGGUACCCCAGGAAGAAGCCUCGGCUAACUACGUGCCAGCAGCCGCGGUAAU
rnacentral:rRNA from 1 species